CUUUGGUUAUAGAGGCCUUGGGUGAGAAAUCAGCUGGGUGGGUAAUAUUAGCCAAGGGACCUUGCUUGUUCCAAAACCAGGACUCUUAGGGAAGAAUCCAGUGCUGCAUCCUAUGCUAAUUUUCCCAAACCAGAACAUCUCCUUAAUAAUGAUCUAUCAGUAUUUCAGCAGAGUGGCUAACUUCAUGCUGAAUUGGAGGCACUUGAGUGUCUUUGAAAUCUCUGGUCCAGUUCCUUGUUUCAAGGUGGAGUGAAAGUUGAUCAGCUUUUCUGACCCGAAGGUGAAAAUAUUUAUAGCUUGGCUGACUUCAAGCUGCCAAUAUGACAUCACUUAAAAUGCAGUUGAGAAAAGAUGCAUCAAAGCCAGUCUGAGCUGGUGCCAACACACCACAGCCUUCAACACUUGGACAUUUAACCAACAUGUCCUUGGAAGAUAUGAGAUUGCUGAAGUGAUAAUAACGAAGCAGACACGGUUGUGUUGAAGGCUGUAAACACCACAGCAUCUGAUGAUACAAGCUGUCAGCAUAAGUGAAGUCUGGAGCUGCCAAAGACACUAUCACCAAGAUUAACCGGACUGCUGUGUGUACCUUGCUGAUGAACGUUGGUUUUAGCUGAGCAGUGGCAUAGAGAGGUUGGAAAUACUUAGCAGGUCUUUGCAGUGUUGAGAUUUUGAUAUCAGACAUUAAAAAAAAAGUAGCAUUUGACAUUACAUUUCUUGAAACUAUCAUUUAAGUAAGUGGAACUGGAAUAAGAUCUGCAUAGGUCAAGCUAGUAUACAGGAUAUUGAUCAAGAUCAGCCCCCAACACUGAGUUUUUAUUGGCCUAGUUUUGAUCAAUAAGUCUAACUAACAAAGCAGUUAGCCCUGUUAAAGCAAAUGCUCUUAGGGCAAGGAAUCGAAUCUGAGCAAAUUGAAGACUGAUGUAAUUGAAUGAAGAAAAUAGAAAGAGGACCUUUUGGAAAGAGCAGAAUUAUUAGUGAGAAUGUAAUUCCUGGAGGCAUAGGUGAAGGAAACAAGGAAGACAAGAAGGGAUUUCCCAGCAGGAGAGCUAUCAAAACACAAGGAAGAUAAUACAAAUAUUGGCUAUUAACUUGAAUGGCUCCCCAAGCUCAAGAUAUCUUGUGAUUAGUUAGAAAGAACCCUGAUUCAAAGUCAGAAAGACCAUGUCGGAGUCCCUGAGUUCACAAAUUCACUUUUUCUGUGAUUUUGGGACAAAUAACCAUCGAUCUAAGCCUUCAU